CGGAUGGCUCAUUAUAACAGCUAUGAUUUGAGAGAUUCUNUCAUUUUGCCAUGGGAUAACUGUGGUAAUUCUAGAGCUAAUAUCUAACAGAAUGCCGUGACUCACGAAGCGGCGGAUUUAUUAGAUCAAAAUCAACCUGGUGAAACCGGUUUUUUGAUGACUCUGGAUAAUUUUACUGAUCGUACGACCUUUGUGUUGACGACAUAUCUCUUGAAAUGGCUGACCUAUCAACUUUCGAUGGUAAGAUCAAAGCUUACCAUGGUUGUAACGGGUAACGGGGAAUCAGUGUUCGAUUCCGGAGAGGGAGCCUGAGAAACGGCUACCACAUCCWCGGAAGGCWGCAGGCGCGUAAAUUACCCAAUACCGGUUCGGUGAGGUAGUGACAAAAAAUAACAAUAUGGGCCCUAGUGGUUUCAUAAUUGCAAUGAGAACAUUUUAAAUACUUUAUCAAGUAUCAAUUGGAGGGCAAGUCUGGUUCCAGCUCCAAUAGCGUAUAUUAAAGUUGUUGCMGUUMMAAAGCUCGUHGUUSAAAUUGAGGAAAAAGAUGGUUUSAAAUCUUUGAUUGAAAGCAUCUUGUCCUUCGACGUCGUGUAUAUCUUUGAUGCUCUUUAAUGGGUGUUGAGGAUGACCGACAAGUUUACUUUGAAACAAUUAGAGUGCUUAAAGCAGGCUGAUGCUUGCAUAUUGUUGCMUGGAAUAAUAAAAUAAGACUUUGGUUUUAUUUUGUUGGUUUUCGAAACUGAAGUAAUGAUUAANAGAGACUGCCGGGGGCAUAUGUAUGCUGGUGCUAGAGGUGAAAUUCUUAGAUCAUCAGCAGACAGUCUACUGCGAAAGCAUUUGCCAAGAAUGUUUUCAUUAAUCAAGAACGAAAGUCAGAGGAUCGAAGACGAUCAGAUACCGUCCUAGUUCUGACCAUAAACUAUGCCAACUGACAGUUCGCGAAGGUAAUUUAAAUCUCCUUGCGAGAAGUCNCCGGGAAACCUAAGUCUAUGGGNUCCCGGGGAAGUAUGGUUGCAGAGACUCUACCCUGCUAAAUWGUACWUUUGUUUUAAAAUAGCAAAUGCUGCCUUNUUAGAGGAAUAAAUAGCGUUUAGCUWAAUGAAAAAGAGCWAUAACWCGUCUGUGAUGCCCUUAGAUGUCCGGGGCCGCAUGCGCGCUAUAAUGGCAGUACCAGCGAGUUUAAUUCCUAGCUAGAAAUGGCUGGGUAACCUGCUUAAUCACUGUCGUGUCAGGAAUAGUGGAUUGAAAUUAUUCCACUUGAACGAGGAAUUCCUAGUAAGUGCAAGUCACCUAUGUGCGCUGAUUACGUCCCUGCCCU
rnacentral:rRNA from 1 species